GACACUGAGUCAGCUGUUCGGGGCCCCCGGGGAGAAAAUCACUACCACCCUCUUCCUCUUUCUCAAAAGUAAAACAAAUCCAAAUCAGCUCACUGGCCACUGACCAGAUAAAUGCCUAAUGGCCUUCUUUGAGCGCCAGACACAUUUAGUGCAGCAGGUGGGUUCUGCCUUGCUGCACCAGCCAUGCAGGAAGGCGGUGCACAGGAAGCCAGCCACCGGGCUAACUGACCCGGCCUCUGGGAGCUUAUUCACACUAUCGAUGGAGGAAGGACAGGGGAAGCUUCAUAGAGCCCUUCUAUUGACAGCUGGAUUACAUUUGGAGAUCUGAAGACAAUGAAGAAAAUAUCUAGACAUUGCAGCCUCCAAGACUUGUACAUUCAGCCAUCAAACAUCAUGGAAGCCUAUCUAAAGGACAGAUGACAGCUUCAGAACACUUGGAAAUCCUCAUCUUUCUAAUUUUGAUGGAAAAAAACCCAACAAGAUCUGCAGCGUUGUCCAU